rnacentral:rRNA from 1 species
AUUGAACGCUGGCGGCAUGCCUUACACAUGCAAGUCGAACGGCAGCACGGGAGCAAUCCUGGUGGCGAGUGGCGAACGGGUGAGUAAUAUAUCGGAACGUGCCCAGUCGUGGGGGAUAACGCAGCGAAAGCUGUGCUAAUACCGCAUACGAUCUAAGGAUGAAAGCGGGGGAUCGCAAGACCUCGCGCGAUUGGAGCGGCCGAUAUCAGAUUAGCUAGUUGGUGGGGUAAAGGCCCACCAAGGCGACGAUCUGUAGCUGGUCUGAGAGGACGACCAGCCACACUGGAACUGAGACACGGUCCAGACUCCUACGGGGGGCAGCAGUGGGGAAUUUUGGACAAUGGGCGCAAGCCUGAUCCAGCAAUGCCGCGUGCAGGAUGAAGGCCUUCGGGUUGUAAACUGCUUUUGUACGGAACGAAACGGCCCUUUCUAAUACAGGGGGCUAAUGACGGUACCGUAAGAAUAAGCACCGGCUAACUACGUGCCAGCAGCCGCCGCAGUAA